CGUGUAGGCGGUCUGGUUAGUCUGAUGUGAAAGCCCUGGGCUCAACCCAGGAAGUGCAUUGGAUACUGUCAGACUUGAAUACGGGAGAGGGUAGUGGAAUUCCUAGUGUAGGAGUGAAAUCCGUAGAUAUUAGGAGGAACACCGGUGGCGAAGGCGGCUACCUGGACCGAUAUUGACGCUGAGACGCGAAAGCGUGGGUAGCAAACAGGAUUAGAUACCCUGGUAGUCCACGCCGUAAACGAUGAGUACUAGGUGUUGCGGGUAUUGACCCCUGCAGUGCCGCAGCUAACGCAUUAAGUACUCCGCCUGGGAAGUACGGUCGUAAGACUAAA
rnacentral:rRNA from 1 species